GAUGAACGCUGGCGGCGUGCCUAAUACAUGCAAGUCGAGCGAACAGAUGAGGAGCUUGCUCCUCUGACGUUAGCGGCGGACGGGUGAGUAACACGUGGAUAACCUACCUAUAAGACUGGGAUAACUUCGGGAAACCGGAGCUAAUACCGGAUAAUAUAUUGAACCGCAUGGUUCAAUAGUGAAAGACGGUUUUGCUGUCACUUAUAGAUGGAUCCGCGCCGCAUUAGCUAGUUGGUAAGGUAACGGCUUACCAAGGCAACGAUGCGCAGCCGACCUGAGAGGGUGAUCGGCCACACUGGAACUGAGACACGGUCCAGACUCCUACGGGAGGCAGCAGUAGGGAAUCUUCCGCAAUGGGCGAAAGCUUGACGGAGCAACGCCGCGUGAGUGAUGAAGGUCUUCGGAUCGUAAAACUCUGUUAUUAGGGAAGAACAAAUGUGUAAGUAACUAUGCACGUCUUGACGGUACCUAAUCAGAAAGCCACGGCUAACUACGUG
rnacentral:rRNA from 1 species